ACACGUGAUUCAGAGUUUGAUCCUGGCUCAGGAUGAACGCUGGCGGCGUGCUUAACACAUGCAAGUCGAACGGAGUUUACAUGUGAGCGGAGGGUGCUUGCAUCUAACAAUCUUUUGUAAACUUAGUGGCGGACGGGUGAGUAACGCGUGGGUAACCUGCCCUAUACAGGGGGACAACAGUUGGAAACGACUGCUAAUACCGCAUAAGCGCACAGCAUCGCAUGAUGCAGUGUGAAAAACUCCGGUGGUAUAGGAUGGACCCGCGUCUGAUUAGCUAGUUGGUGAGGUAACGGCUCACCAAGGCGACGAUCAGUAGCCGGCCUGAGAGGGUGAACGGCCACAUUGGGACUGAGACACGGCCCAA
rnacentral:rRNA from 1 species